rnacentral:rRNA from 1 species
AAUACAGUACUUGUUAUGCCUUAUUAAAAAAAAGUUUUAUAACAUAAGGAAUUAUAACAAAGAAGCAACACAUAAAAUAUGACAUUCAUAUUUUUUAGUGUGUAUCAAUCGAGUUUCUGACCUAUCAGCUUUUGAUGUUAGGAUAUGGGCCUAACAUGGCUAUGACGGGUAACGGGGAAUUAGAGUUCGAUUCCGGAGAGGGAGCCUGAGAAACGGCUACCACAUCCAAGGAAGGCAGCAGGCGCGCAAAUUACCCAAUUCUAAAGAAGAGAGGUAGUGACAAGAAAUAAUAGGACAAGACUAAUUUUUUAGUUUUGUAUCUGUGCUGAUAGAAUUUUAAAACCAUUCUAAAAUUCCAUUGGAGGGCAAGUCUGGUGCCAGCAGCCGCGGUAAUUCCAGCUCCAAUAGCGUAUAUUAAAGUUGCUGCAGUUAAAAAGCUCGUAGUUGGAUUUCAAA